rnacentral:lncRNA from 1 species
GGUGGUGGUGGUGGUGGAGACUCGUAUUUAUACGGUGGCAACGGAGGCGGAGACUCUGGUGGUGGAGAUUUGUACUCGUACGGUGGUGGAGAUUUCUCAUGGUGGUGGAGAUUUGUACUCGUAUGGAGGUGGAGACUUCUCGCAUUUUGGUGGUGGUGGUGGUGGUGGAGACUUGGGUGGUGGCGGAGGUGGAGAUUUCUCACACUUUGGUGGAAGUGGUGGAGACUUGUAACGGUAAGGAGCUGGUGUGGUGGUGAUUCAACCGGUGGCGGUGGUGGUGGUGGGGAUUUGUAGCAGUAAGGAGGUGCAUUAGGAGGUGCAUUAGGAGGGCAUAAACGAUUUGGAAACCACCAGGGCCUUCUCAGCCAUGGCCUCCAACAGAAGAAAUCGAUCGUGCUCUUGGGAAUUUCAAAGCCAAAGUUCUUGGCAUCUCCAAAACCCCCUGCAUUUCGAUCCAAAACCUCCUGAGAUCCAUCAGACCUGACAGUAGAAACCAGGAGAAGCAGCAAAAACAUGUUGCAUGACUUGGAGACCUUUUCUUGUGAGACUACAAAAUUUCCAAGUUGUAAAGCCUAGCAUUGUGUCUUGGAACCCACUGCUUUCAAAUAGUAAUGCUUUAGAAAUUGAUGGCUCUAAAAUCUUGUUUUUGAUUUUAUUAUAUUUCAAUUAGCGAUGUUAGUAACCUUUGCUUUUAUAACAAUAAUAAGGAUGAAAAUGAAAUUCAACAAAGAAAAGCUGCAUGAAUAUUCUUAUAUGAAACUUUGUUAAACAUUGACAAUCAUUAGGGAGCUCAAUUUUAUCAUUGUUUCUUUGGCACGAAUCCCACUAGAAGAAACAAUGAGAGAGCACAAACAAUUGUUGCCUAGAACAUUUAUCACUUUGCACUUCACAAUAUUAAGCACCAUUUUAUUAUGUUUGGUCUGCCAACAAUACUAAAGUGCCAGAGUUAGCAAGCAAAGACGUUUGGCUAUUUUUAAAUUUUCUUUUGUAGUGAAUUUUGGAGUGGCAUUUUAGCUUUAUAAAAAGCCCAAGAGAUUGAAUUUUGGCAACAGUGGCUAGGGUGUGCUGCUGUGAGAGAGUGAAGAGAUUCAGUAUUCCAAGCAUUGUCUCCCAACUCUUGCAGCAGUGCUGAACAUAUGCAAAUCUUGGGCCAGCAUUGCAAGGGAUGUGGGUUUAUUCUGGUGUGAUUCCAAAACUUUGCUAUGCGUUACAUAUAGCAAUGUUUGGUUUGGUUUAUAAUAUUAAUAAUUUAUCUAAUUGAUCAAUAUAUAAUUCAAGCUAGAACAAAAGUGGAUAUGAAGUUUGAUUGAGUUUUUGUGGGAUAAGCCACAUUUUUCUUCAGCCAUCAUAUCUCAAUGAAAUUUAGUGAUGUAGAAAGUUCCAAGUUUGCAUUUUUAACUCGUUACUUCGUAAUAAACUCGGUUUGAGAAAAAGUAGCAGCUCCAUUGAAACCCUUGUUUAACCAGCAAAAUGAAUACAAUUUUCAUCUGUAAUGCUUUUUAGUUUGAUUUUUCCCCUCUUUUCCAAAUUACAUCCCGGUGAAAGUGCGUAAGUAAUUACAAGGUGACCAAAAUUUCUUGACUAACCUGUCUCCCCCACGACUUGUAUAAUGGAAUCAAUCAAAUUCAAUCAAUCUCGCCUUCUUCCACCUCGCCGUUUUCGUCCGCGUACGCAACCUCGCCAUCCCCCUGCUUGUCAUCCUCCUCCUCGUCCAGCUUCAUGAACAGGCCCAGUUGCUCCAGCGCGUUCCCGGCGCCUUGUGGAAGAGUGAAGCCCGGCAAUCCAUCCGGAGAAUUCGGGGGGCUCACUUCCCCCGCCGAGCUCUGGAAGUGCUCCUUGGAGCUCGUCCUCAUCAGGUCGAAAUCCUUGAGAAUCUCACAGUGCGCGUCGAGAUCCACUGUUCUUUCCAUCUACAUCACGAAAAACACGAGUAAAAAGAGGCUUUUAACGCGAGAAAAGAGCUUGCUUACCUGUUGCAGAGCCUUCCGAGCGGCCUCUCGUUCCACUUCUCGUUUCUUCCUGGCCUCCGUCGCAGCUUCCGCUUCGGCUUUUUUGCGAGCGACCUCUGCAGCCUUGGCAUCUGCCUGUAACCGUGCUUUAUCUGUACGCAAAGCACGUUGCUUACAAAAACAAUAAAGGAAAGACACGAAUAAAAGCUUACCUUCUCUUAACUUCCUUUCGAGUUCCUCCCGCUCCUUGCGAAGCUUUUCCGGAUCGACGUUGUCCCCGCUCUGCACACACACACACACACACAAGAAAGAAGAGUAUCAGCUCUGUGACAAGGCAGCUACGCUAGUGUACCUUGAGCGGGAAAGUCUUCUCCCGAGCUUUCAAAAUGGUAUCGGCAAAGCGACCUUUCAGCAGAGCUGCACGAACGCUCUUUUCGGGAGAGACUGGCCUCUCAGAUUGGAGUUUCUCUGCUGCUGCAAAGCUCAUGAGAAGCCAGAAAAUCGUCACGCUUCACGCUUACAUUUUUCGGCUUGAGAUUCAGGUAAGUCCCCAGCCUCCCCAGGUCUGACUGUUACGGGCUCUGGAACAUAUCACACAAAAAAGAUUAGUAGCCCGUCGAGAAAAAUCAAUCCUCCAUGGACAAGCAGCAGCAGGCAGUGCAUGAACGGAGAAUCGAGCUCCCACAAAUGAAAAGAAUGCAAAGUGUGCACAAGACGGCACCCACGUUUUGCACCGUCAAUCUUGUCAGACGGGCUGGAUAAUUGCUCGCGAACAGCACCAAAACCCAUAGGCUCCUGGCAAGAAUACCGCACGGAAGGGCAGUUCAGCCACCUCCAAAAAAAAAUCCCCCCCACUUCCACGAGAAAAGAAAAGAAUCGCUCUCACUCACUCCUCUCUUUUUUUCUGCCUAACUAGUCACCGUUCCCGUUCCCCAAGCAAAUACCUUCUGAGAGGUAGGCUUCUCUAUACCAGCAGUUCGAGGACCUUCGGCGUCGGAAUCGCUGUGAGAAGAGCUCCCGGAAUCCGAUUCUGAAAAAAAAAAAACCGGUUAUCAAGCAUGCCUGGGCACACAAAAAACAUACCACUGGAAUCUGAACCAGAGCUGCUGGAAGAACUUCCUCCAGACGACUCUCUUCCAUCAUUAGGUGUAUCUUUGUCAACUACAACAGGUGAAUAAUUGGCUGUAGGCAUGUCGUCCUCUCCAUCGAUAUCGACGUCCUCAUCUAGCCCUUCACCACCUAGACGAUCAUUAACAUAUAUCAGACACCUACGACGACGAGAACUCAAGAACAUACUCUUUCGACUCUUCUUCGGUGAAUCUCCCGGAGCCGUUCCCCCGGUCUGCUGGGAAAGACAAAGACAAAGAACACAGGUCAAAGUAAGAACUACCAACGACAAGAAAUACCUUGAUGCCUUCUGCUGGCUGCGGCCGGGGCCUCUUCUUGUUUUUCGGCUUCAUACAGCUCGCAACCAUCUUGUGAAGCUCCCAUAGUGUGUCGUUGUCGAUCCCAUCAAUGUCGACUUCGAUCGUAUCCUCGCUCUGGCUAAGGUUUGGGUUGUGCUUCUUGAGUAGCAAAACGAUCUCGUCGGCUUUGUCACCUGGGUUCUGCUCCAACACCUUCUCCAGAUUCUUACCCAGCUCCGUCUUCUCCUCGUAAGUCAUCUGUCUCUUGCCCGACUUCUUGCUUCCCCUGGGAGCCCCGGCGGGUUUCUUGAGCGACGACAAUUGAUCCUCGAUGCUGAGGAGGCUCUGCUUGAGGUUCUGCAAGGCCGGGUUUGGGUUCCCCUGAGCAAUCUCCGCAAACACCUCGUCCUCCACCCGGCACUUGGUCUGCUCCUCCUCCAGCUUCUCCUUGAUGCACCUCCACCUCUCAUCGAAAAUCUGGCGAAGUAUGUCCGCCAUGAUGAACACGUCGUGCCCGGGCGGGUUGUAAGUCAUGGCAUUCGAAAAGGUGAGCUUGACAUCGUCCGCAAACUCGACUGGCGUGCGGUAGUGGCCGCCCUCGAGCUUCUUCUUGAUGGUGCCCAGGUCCAUGGGCCGCCGGAUCACCUUGUGGUAGUCGUGGAGCCCGAGUUUGACAGCGUCCACGGGCUCGUUGAAAACCCAAGCGUGCUUGUGGGUGAUGAGCUUCUUGAGCAGCGUCCCACACUGUUUCAUUAUGUCGCCCAUCCUCUUCAUCCGCGCUAGCUCCACCCUUUGCCGCUUGUUGUCAAUGUCGCCCUUAGUCCCUUUCUUGGGCGGGACGAGCGCCUUGGGCUUGACCUUCUCCGGCGGCGGCAUCUUGUCCUUGGCCGAGAAAUACUCCGAGGUGCUGUACAUCUGAUUCGCCUUGGGCGUCCGCUUCUCCUUGCUGCUGCCGCCCGUGCCCGGCGUGCCGAGAGUGCCCGACGAUCUGGACUGCUGCUCUAGCGCCUCAAUCUUGGUGCUAAUCCCGAUAACCUGUUCCAGGUCGAGCUUCAAGCGCUUGCGGACCUCGCGCUUGGAUUCUUUCGGCAUUGCCGACACAGAUUCCAUCGAUCACACGCACCUGGAGGCCGAUCCCCACACCCUAAUCACUAGGCCAGGGCUCGGCGGCAGAUCCCUACCGAAACCCUAGAACACAUGACGGAAGAGAGGAACCGAGGGCUCCUUUAAAAGCGGUGUCCACGCUGUCCUGGCCGUUAGAUCCCCAUCGGGCGGUCCACAUUCCUCGGGGCCCCCGGCCGUUGGAUCCCGGAUCGGACGUCGAUUUUGAUCUCUAGCCGUCGGAUGUGUAUCGCACGGCUGGCGCCCCGGGCAGCCGGUCCGCCGUCGGAUGCGUGUAAACGGUUUCGAUGGGGCUGCCCGUGGUACACGUGGCGGGACUGCAACCGCAGGCGCCCUAUCCGUAAAAUGGAAAAGAAAGUUUUUUCACACGGUUUCCCCAGACGCGGGGGAAUCUUCACUGAUACCGUGGCGAUAUUUUUUUUCUCUCUCUCUCUCGCUGGCACUUUAUAAGUAUCUAGAGUCGGGUUCGCGAUCUCGACACGUGUUGCCGCUCAACACCGUUGAUUUGCGUCUUCUUGUGUUCGUCACUCAGGCCUGUACUGUCGUCACUAGAGCUCGAUCGGGAGCUUCUCGGAGGAUUGACAGAUUUUCACAGAAUUUCUCAUCCCUGUGACUCAAAUCAAAAUGAUCGAUCGCUCAGAACCUGCUGGAACAAAGUCCCAAUCCUAUCAAAAGAUCUUCUUGUUCGAGUUCAUCACUGCGAGCCCCAAAUCACUCAGUGCUUCUUAGAGGGUAUUUCCCCACAUCAGGCACAAAGAAUGGCCUCUAGGGUGGAAAUUUGAGCUUCAUCACGGUGAACCGAUAAUCCCACGCACACGACGCCUAGAAAACACUCCUCAUAGCAGACAGAUCUCAGCACUAGAUCAGCAAUUGAAACGACGAUUCGCGAGAAAUCACAGGAGCCAGAGAUUUUCCAGUCCAAGUGGCCGCUUGGAUCACCCGGAGAUCGCAAGCGGAUGGAAGAGCGACUGGAGAGACUAUGUCUUGCCGCCGCCAGGGCGAGAUCGCAACAGCGCCCAAACGGGGCGCUGCCGCCACACAACGCAAGAACCCUAGAAAUUGACCUAGAACCACAUAUUUUAUGAUCGAGAGCUAGGGUUUUCUGAUCGCGGUGAUCUGGUGGAAGCGAUGUCGGUAAGAUGUUUGCUAGCGCCGAUCGAUUCCUGGAGCUGAGAGCUUCCGCCUUGGCAGAUUUUCACCUACAAUGGCAGCGCCUUGGUUGCGAUGGUCGGAAAGGAUUGCUUUGCCAUCGCCAGUGAUCGCCGGCUUGGUGUGAAUUUCCAGACGAUAGCUACGGAUUUUCAGCGCAUUUUCAAGAUCCAUGACAAGCUCUAUGUCGGAUUAGCAGGGCUUGCUUCCGACGUCCAGACUCUGUAAGUUUCUUACUUUGAAUUUUUUUGUGCGUUCUUUCUGAUUCGCUCGCUGCCUUUGUAGCUACCAACGAUUGAAGUAUCGACACAACCUCUUCCAGUUGCAGGAGGAACGAGAUAUGCGACCAGAAACCUUCUCGAAUUUUGUCUCUGCAACACUCUACGAGAAGAGGUGAAAAUUCUCUCCUUCUCUCUUUCGAAGCCUUUUCUUCAUCUCUUUUGUCAGAUUUGGUCCCUACUUCGUUCAGCCUCUCAUUGCUGGGCUCGGAGCAGACAACAAGCCUUACAUCUGCACGAUGGACUCUAUCGGAGCAAUGUGAGUGUCCGACUUUCGUAAGCUCAUAAGUGACUACUUGUUUUACGCAGCGAGCAUUCCAAGGACUUCGUAGUCGGGGGCACUGCGUCUGAAUCCUUGUAUGGUGCUUGCGAGUCUAUGUACAAGCCCGACAUGGUAACCAUUAUUCUAGUUCAUGUUACGAGUCCUGUUUUUUUUUUUUCUCUCAGGAGCCUGAAGACCUUUUUGAAACGAUCUCACAAGCGCUGAUCUCCUCGGUUGAUCGUGACUGUCUGAGCGGCUGGGGAGGAAUCGUCUACGUUGUGUAAUAGCGCUGAUUCUUUCUCCUCACCUUCAAGCAUACUGAUCUUAUGCUUAUUUUUCUUGUGUAGGACCCCCGACCAGGUAAUCGUAAGAACACUCAAAGGCCGGAUGGAUUAGGACUAUGGUGCUUUCAGUUUGUUUAUACUGGGCACUUGGAACAUUUGGUCAGUGCUUGUUAUCCAUUGCAGUUUUACUUAACCGAUCCCUUGUCUUGCACUUUACGUUCGGAAAGUAUCUUUAACAUCACAGAAUCACAAGCGAUGUUUCGUUUUUCAGACGAAACACUAGGUUCUAAAAGCUGUGGAAGUUGGCAGCUUCAUAAGAACCUCGGGUUUUGGGUUUGGAUCCGCGUUGUGCUCAUGACAGCCGUUUCUCAACAACACUAGACCGGCUCUGGUUGGCUGCCAUUCAAUGGGAACUGAGAAGUUUAUCCUAAAUUCAUGGACCUCAAGUCGCCACAACUGUGAGUUGUACGUAAGAACGUCCAAGAAUUUGCUUCUUGACCUGCUCUUGUUUAGUUGUCAUUUUACAGGUGGUUCCCGCUUUUUGCCAUUCAUUGUCUUUUAACUGUUUGUGAUAGCGGCUGCUGCGUUUUCCUUGUUUCUGUAUUCUUAUUGUCUGCCUGAAUGUCCUGUCCUAUCCUCUCUAUUCCAUCUCCUCUUGACAGCAUGUAGAAACUUGUAGCGUCGGAUCUUCGAUGGCAUUCUCGGGUCUGUUUCUCGAGCUUCUUGCUUUGGUGCUGGUGCUGGAGUUGAGUCAUUGUCUCGACUAUAGUGAUGCGCUCUCGAAAUCUAUUCUUUUCUUUGAAGCCCAGAGAUCCGGUCCACUUCCGAGCAGCCAACGACAGAAUUGGAGAGGCGACUCGGGCCUGUAUGACGGAGCCGCUGAGAAUGUAAUAUCGCGCAUGCAGCUCGUCUGAUGCUAACGCCAACUUGCAGGUUGAUCUCGUUGGUGGCUACUAUGAUGCCGGUGACAACGUCAAGUACCUUUUCCCAAUGGCAUUCACCAUCACAAUGCUGUCCUGGGGAGCUAUCGAAUAUGGCAACUCGAUGGCUCAACUUGGAGAGUUACAGAACGUCCUCGAUGCUAUCCGGUGGGGGACGGAUUUUAUGAUCAAGGCCAACACAGGUCCUACCACGCUCUGGGUCCAGGAAAGUUAUUUACAUGAUUUUUUAUUUCUCAGUCUGAACUUGGGACUUACUAUGCAGGUUGGAGAUCCAAGAGCGGAUCAUAACUGUUGGGAACGACCAGAAGACAUGGACACUGAUCGUCAGCUGUACAAAGUUGACGAAAACAAUCCAGGGACGGAGAUAGCUGCUGAAACUGCUGCGGCUCUUGCUGCUUCUUCAAUUGUGCUUUCGGGAGUUGAUCCUGGGUACUCAAAUUUCCUUCUUCGGCGAGCAGAAGCUGUAAGUGGUCUUUUCCCUAUUCCCUCUGCCCGAUAACAUUCAUUGUUGGAAUUCUUAUACGCUUUCUCUAUUUUUUAAUUAGCUCUUUGAGUUUGCAAAUCAGUAUCGUGGUUCUUUCUGGAAAACGUGUCCAUUCUAUUGUUCUUUCAACGGUUUCCACGUAAGUCGACGCUCAGUACGUAGCUGUAAAGCUUUUUAUCUUCUAUCAGGAUGAGCUUCUCUGGGCCGCUGCUUGGCUGUUCAAAGCCACAAAUGCCGCCUCCUAUCUCGAUUUCAUAGAACGCAACAUGGACAAAAGUGUUCCCACUAGCGAAUUCAGCUGGGAUAACAAGCAUGCUGGUGUACAAGUUUUACUUUCAAAUGUAAGGAGACACUGUUCUUUUGAUUGAUCUGAAGUCGUUAUCUGCAUUCAGUUUUACCUUUCUGGGCAGGAGUCGCUUGCAAAGUUUAAGGACCAUGCUGACAGAUUUUUCUGCUCGGUACUUCCAUACAGUCCUGUUAACCGAGUCUCCACUACUCCAGGUACACGGUUUCGCUCAUUUUUCGUUUCUUAGUCUACAAACUCCAUUCAGGUGGCAUGAUGUUUGUUAGAACUGGCGCUAACAUGCAAUACGUAACUAGCACCUCGUUUCUGGCUGCCGUGUUUGGUGAUUAUCUUCAAGCAGCAACCCAAACACUUGCGUGUCAAGACUACAUAUUUGCACCGGACACUCUGAUGUCGUUUGCACUAAACCAGGUGAGCUAUCAGUUCGCAGAAAAAUAUCAUAACCCCUUCACUUCUGUAGGUGAAUUACAUUCUUGGUCAGAAUCCCUUGGGGAUGUCUUACAUGGUUGGCUACAGCAAUUAUUAUCCUUUAGAACCGCAUCACAGAGGAGCGUCGAUAGUUUCAAUCUACGAGGAUUCGACGCCUGUGAAUUGCGUGCUGGGAUUUAACGAGUGGUUUUACAGACCUUUCCCGAAUCCGAAUGUCCUGACUGGAGCAAUUGUUGGGGGUCCAGACCGCUGGGACGCAUUCUUGGACUGGAGGCCGAACUCUGCCCAGCUUGAACCUACCACAUAUAUCAAUGCUCCUUUUGUCGGUCUUCUUGCCAGGAUUUGUAGCCUCUACAACUUCUUCUAAACCGUAAGCAAUAUUCUAGUUUUCUUCCUUCUGUUUCUUGCUAAAUAGAUUGAAUUUUCAGAGGUAGGAAAAAUGGGAGCAUUGCUGCAUCUUAAAUCAAACUUCUGGUUAGUCUGGUUCUUGUUCUCUUUAAUCCAAUUCAUUAUUCAUCUAGGGCUGUGGAACUUUGAAAGAACCCACAAUUGUUGCACUUUUCUUUUCACUCCUCACAGUGUUGGGUUUUCUCUUGCGUGCAGCAGCCUGAUGGUUUGGCGGUGAGAAGUUGUGGCUUUUAUCUGUGUUGCUGAUUUACUAAGAUAGUCACUUUUGCAGGAAGCAGCGAAAGGGAAAAAUGGCAUAGGCCGUCGGGGUUUGGCCAAGCAUGCAGUAUGAGUCGCAUGGAUCAUUGCACAUUGAACGAGGCCCAGGAGAAAAUGACAAGAGGAAGAGCUCUCUCUCUGGUAUGCUUGCGGCAUUAAAGCUAUCAAGCAGCUCCAGGAACCUAGAACUCGGGAAAAAGAUCCACGCCGAUGCAGUUCAAAGCGGUAAUGAGACCAACAUUUACAUGGCCAGCACUCUGGUGGACAUGUACGCUAAGUGUGGCUGCUUGGCGGAGGCUCGCAAGGUCUUUGACAAUAUGCCAUCGAGAAACGUGGUAUCCUGGACGUCACUCAUGCUCGGCUACGUGCAAAACUGCCAAGCCAGGACAGCUCUGGAGCUCUUCCAGCGUAUGGUGUCCGACGGCUGCGUUCCAGACGCUCAGACUUACGUUGCUGCUCUCAAGGCGUGCUCAAACUUGGUGGCGAAAGAGUCAGGUAGUGCCGCGGAUGGCAGGCUCCGGAAGAUGGUGGUGCUGGAAACAGGAUUCAUGCUCCACUCUCUGGCUGCUCCAUCGGGCUGCGACUCGGACAUCUACGUCGCCAGCACUCUGGUGGACAUGUACUCCAAGUGUGGAAGCAUGGAGGACGCUCGAAAGGUGUUCCUUGGGAUGGAGUUAGCGUCUCGAAACGUGGUGCUCUGGACAGCGCUCAUGACCGGCUAUGCUCAUAACGGCGAAGGCGAGCUCGCUCUAGAGCUCAUGGGAUCCAUGAACUGCGCUCCAAAUUCUCUUACGUUCGUCGCGGCUCUCAAGGCGUGCUCGGCUCUAGCAGCGAAAGAGGAAGGCCAGAGAAGCAGCGAUGGAAAGAUGGUGAAGAUGGUGGCGCUGGAAGCAGGAAUGCUCGUCCAUACCCGGGCUGGUUUGGCCGGUUUGGAGUCGGACAUCUUCGUGGCGAGCACUCUGGUCGACUUUUACGCCAAGUGCGGGAGUUUGAACGACUCGUACAGGAUCUUCGACGCAAUGCCGGUGAGGAACGCGAUCUCGUGGACGGCUCUCAUGUCCGGCUACGUGCAGGAAGGAGAAGGCGCGAAGGCUUUGGAGCUCUUCUCACAGAUGAUGCACAGGGAUGGCUGUGAAGUCGAUGCGCAGGCUCUCGUGGUGGGACUCAGAGCUUGCAUUGCCAGUGCUGGGAAAGAGGAGGCCAGGAAGAUCGACGACAAAACGGUGGAGCUCGUCUCUCUCUCGAGUGGAGUCCGGCUGAAAGAAGCGGUGAUCCAGCGAUCGAUGAAAGUGGCAGCUCUGGAAACCGGGAUGGUUCUCAAGGAUGAAGUGAUCGAUCGAAUGGCCAAAGUGGUUUCUCUGGAGCGAGGAAUGGCGCUUCACAAGGAGGCGAGAAAGCGAGGCUUCGAGAAAGAUAUCUUCGUCUCCAGCGCUUUGCUCGAUAUGUACUCACACUGUGGAAGCCUGGUGGACGCUCUCAAGAUCUUCGAGGGAAUGCCAUGUCAUAACGCGGUGACGUGGAAUGCCCUGCUGCUCGCGUAUGCCCAAAACGGUGAGCGUGACACGGCGCUGGACGUUUUCGCGUGGAUGCGCCUCCACCGCGGAUGCUACCACGUGGACGGCCAGACGUUCGCCAGCGCGCUCAAGGCGUGCGCCGGCAUGGCCGCUCUGGACAUGGGACGUGCCAUCCACGUGGACGCCUGCCGCUGCGGCGCCGCGGAGCUGCCCGCGGUGGUCAACUGCGUCGUCGACCUGUACGGCAAGUGCGGCAGCACGGAAGCCGCGCGGCGCGAGUUUGACGCCGCGGGCGUCGCGGACGUGGUGACCUGGAACGCGCUCGUGUCCGGGUACGCGUGGCAUGCUGACGUGGCGGAGGUGUUUGGCGCCUUGUAUGACAUGCGGCGGGCGGGGGUAAAGCCCGACGGUAUCACGUUUCUGGCGAUUCUCACGGCGUGUAGCCAUGGCGGGCUCGUCGACAAGGGGAUUAAACUCUUUGAGAAGAUGGAGGUGGUGUACGGCAUUCGUCCGGACGUGGAACACUACCACUGCAUGGUUGAUCUUCUGGGGCGGGCGAAUCAAUUGGAGCGGGCGGUGGAAAUGGUGAGGUCCAUGCCGGUGGAGCCAAAUGCCGUGACGUGGAUGACGGUUCUUGGGGCGUGCUGGAAGUGGAAGAAUGUGGAGCUUGGGCGAUUGGCGUUUGAAUCGGUGGUGGAAAAGGAUAGACGCGAGCUCGCGGCUUACAUGCUCAUGGCGAAUAUCUAUGGGAGCGCCGGGAUGUGGGAGGAGAAAAUGCGAGUGAGAGAGAUGGGAAUGGAGCUGCAAAAAGGGGAGGAUUAUGUGGCCCAUGCAGGUCUCGAACCUGCGACCUUGGCGUUAUUAGCACCACGCUCUGACCAUCUGAGCUAAUAGGCCUUAACUAUCAGUGAUUAUAAAGUUACUGGAUUCAAGGAAAUGUUAGACAUUACUCCAUGAUUAUAUUGGUUCUACAAAAAGCCUGGCACAUGCAGGUUUCGAACCUGCGACCUUGGCGUUAUUAGCACCACGCUCUGACCAUCUGAGCUAAUAGGCCUUACCAAUAAUCAGUUAUGGGCAAAGAAUUUUAUAUAGUUUUAGAAACAUUAGCCUCCAAAUCUUUGGACUUCAUGAAGGUUUCGAAUAAUCGUAUAGUGAUAAUGUGACAGAAAGGUUUAAGUCUCGAACGUACGACCUUUUAAAAAGUUUAUCAUUGGUGAUUUGUAUGUACAGAUAAAAGUUCCACGCUAUUCUAUACAAGACGAGAGUUUUCUUCGUUUAGUUAGUUUCGUGCUCGGGCCGCUGCCCAAACCAUCGCGAAGGCAGUCCUCGCCUCUUGAGCAGCCGCGAGAGCGCCGACUCGGGCAUCUUUGCUCGCUCCUCCUCCGCCAAUUCUUCCGGGGUCUUUGGAAUCGAGUCUGGCUCCAGGAACAGCUCCUCCUUCUCCGCCACUGCCGCCGCCUUCGCUGCCUCUUCCCGCGAGCGCGCCGCUACGUUUUUCUUUCGAUUGAAUCCCGCGAGCACGACCAAGUUCUUGAUGAGAGUGGUCACGCCGCCGGACUGCCUGACUAGAUUCUCCAGCCUCUCCAGCGGCUGGCACGACUGAUUAGCAUCGUCGAAGGCAGCAGCGCAUUCCUCCUGGGAGCUCUCCUGGAAAACGAGAACCAAAAGUGUCAGCGAGAUGGGCAGACGAUUCUUCACGAAUCAAUCGAAGCGGACAAACCUUGAUCUUCUCGAAUUCGAAGAGAGCAUCGUAGCACUCGUGGGCCUCGUUCCCAUCCAGAAUGGUGCAUUCGUCUACUCCACAAGCAAGAGAGAACCACAGAGAACUCUCUCAGAGAGAUUUCAAUCGAAUCGAGCAAGCUGAUUUACCUUGCAAAGCGUGCUCGGCCUUCUCCAGCAGCGUCCGCUGUCGCAUUCCACGAACGCUUCUACUCUGCGUGAAUGGCUCGAGCUUUGGAACCUCGGACGAGACCGACACCGACGAUGAAGAUGAAGAUGAUGAUGAAGAAGAAGAAGAAGAAGCCGGAAUAGCGGCGACGACACAAGGAUGCGAAUGCGAUCGCCGAUUGGCACCGGGAAGCCACGAAUUCUGCGCCACCACGCCCACGGCGAUUCUAGCAGCAGUCGCAGCCAUAGCUCCCAAGAACCCUAAACUCUAAAAAGUGGAUAAGCUUCGUCAGAUAUUUGGGCCGAAAACUAUUCCAUGGCAUAUUCCGGACUUCCUUAACUUUAUUAAGCGUUGGCCAGUCGAUAGCGUACGGUCAGGCCCACUUCGCUUUCCUCUCUUUUUUAUCUUUCCUAGGGUUUCCGGUGGCGAGCUCCAGGGCGCGGCGGCCGUUCUCUCUCCAGCUCCUUGAAUCCUCGAUGUUAGAGUAAGUGAUCGCCAUUCCCGGCGAAAGAUCCAGCGAUUAGUGACAUAAGCGGCAGCGGCCAGGGAUUCAGUACAGGGAUUUCCAGAUCAUGUCGCCUCCAGGAGCAGCAGGCGCUGCGUGACACGAAUCGGGAUCGGCAGGGCCGGGAAUUCGCCACAGCGGAGAGGAGAUCUGGUCGCCAUGACGUAUUUCCCUCUCAACACUGGCGCGAAGAUUCCAGCCGUGGGUCUCGGGACUUGGCAAUCCGAUGGAGCGUCGUGUAAGCUAGCGGUCCAAACGGCGCUCGAGGUGGGCUACAGGCAUUUGGACUGCGCGCACUUGUAUGGCAACGAGAUCGAGGUCGGGCAGGCUCUCGGGGCGGCUCUCAAUGGUGGAAUUCCCGGCCUCCGGCGAGAGGACGUGUUCGUCACCUCCAAGUUUUGGUGCACCACUGACACCUCCAAGCGGGUGGAGAUGGCUCUCACGGUCUCGCUCAAGAACUUGGGGGUGUCCUACUUGGAUCUCUAUCUGGUGCACUGGCCGGUGAGCUCCCAAGUCGGGGACGCCACGGAUCCGCCUGGGAAUGCCACCACCGAGCUCAAGAAGAUGUCCCGGAGGCUCAAGUCGAUCUGGCGGGCGAUGGAGGCGCUGGUGGAGAGGGGCAAGGUUCGUGCGAUUGGAGUGAGCAACUUUGGGAUCUCGCAGAUACAGGAGGUGGUGAGCUUCGCGAGGAUAAUUCCAGCAGUCAACCAGGUGAGAGCUAUCAGAACUUUACCAAGUACCCCGAUCUAACUCUCGUUCUUUCCUUGUCAAGGUUGAGCUCCACCCCUUCUGGCGUCAAGACGAGCUCGUCAAGUUCUGCCAGUCCAAAGGGAUCCACGUCUCAGCGCACACUCCUCUGGGAUUUCCUGGAGCCCGCCUUGGCAGCUCCGGCAAUCUCAGCUCCAUGGGAGACGACGAAGUGGAAACCCGGAGCCAACCCAUAGUUUUCUCGAGGUCGCGGUCUGUGCACGCUCCCAUGCUCGGCACUUCAGCGGUGGCUGUCAUUGCCAAUCGGCUCCGCAAGACUCCGGCACAGGUACUUUUGGUUCUUUCUUUUCUUUCAGCCUCAGAGCCCCGUCGUUUUCCUCCGCAUUGAUUGGAAACACGACACGCAAUUGAAUGGCAGGUCAUCUUGCGGUGGGGCGUCCAGAGAGGAACGAGCGUGCUCCCUCGCAGCCUCAAGCCAGAGCGAAUCAAGUCCAACUUCGACAUACUCAACUGGUCCCUCUCGGACGAGGAUUGGAACUCGGUGAACACAAUGGAGCCGCAGCUCAGGCUCAUUGUGAGCAACCAGUCGUAUCUCGGCGAGAACGGGAGGCCACUCCAAGCCGUGAACGAGAUGGACGAUGUCGAUUUCCACUGACUAGACCCAUGGCAAAGGUAAGAUCUCUCUUUCUCUCACACCUCUCUAGCUCACUCGUUUCUUCUUUGAAUGGACUAAAGUUUUGGACUAAAGUUUUGGCAGGACUGGAAGCUCACCUAUAUUUUUGUACAGUACACAAGCAAAAAAGAAACCAACACGAGCGAUAAUAAAUGCUUGCCACGUUAUAGGGUUUAUUGGAAUUAAAAUGCCAUGUUGAUAAUAGUCUCAUGCGGUGGAUGUGACCAUGCGUUGCCACCUUUUUAAAAGCUUAUCUUGAUCAAGCAUGCCAUGCCCUUCAGCGUGUGCCCAGAAAGACAUAGCCAUUUGGGAGCACUCUUACUUACACUAGAGCAAUAAAAGAGCUCCUUUAUACCUUCGCCAUGCUUCAGCAAGUAUCAAAAGGAGAACUACUUUAGCCAGGGCAUCCAAUUGUAGUGUUGUUUGCCAACACCAAAAGGCUUCGAUCAAGUUAACUUCUUGGAAAACCUUUGGAAGCCAAGCACCUUGCAAACAUUGGAACCAAGAUGGAUGAUCCACACUUGACACAUUAAACUCCAUCGUUCAUGGACGGAAGGCAACAGGGGAGUCUCCUACGUGAGCCUAGCGAGAACUUCUGGGGCGGACAUCACAGCAUGCUUUGGAGCCCGCUUCAAGUAGUGUGGAAUCCAGGUAGCAAAACCCUCUGCACUGGCAAACCCUCUGGAUUGCAAGAAACUUCUGAAGAUUACAGAUUCAGCUCUCUCUUGUCGAAGUACGUAGUGUCCGAAUCAUCGACUGAUAAGACACUGCCUCUCGUAGACUGAUCCGUUCAAUUGCUGUCUUAAAACCUGCCGGAAUGCGGCCCUGUCAAAACCCUGCCAAAACCAAGAGAGGAAGCAUCAAACAUGGCGAUGGAGGAAGCAGUGACCCAGGGAGUUGCGUGACUUUUUCACCGUAAAAAAGUUACGGGGUUUCAUGCAUCCUCAAAUCACUUCUGUUUCUCUUCGCCUCUCAUCUCCAGCUCUAAUCUCUCUCUCUCUCUCUCUUUCAGCUCCGGAUGGCUGCGGCAUUGGGCGCGCAGCGGUCGAGCUAAUGUGAUCAUCCUCGCGGGAAAUCGAUCCAUCGUCCUUAUCAACUGGCAAUGGAACUUGGUUCAUAGCUAAGGAGUGGUUCUUCUUUGUUUCGAUUUUUCUUCAGAUUGAUCACUGGGGAUACUUCUUUCCUUUCGUUUUUAUUUUUCAGGCAUGCCAGCAAGGUCGAGUUCUUUGGUUUGGCCGAUGAGUUGAGAGAGCAUAAGGAGCAGAAUUCCAUGUCUUUCAGUGUCACAGGACAACGUUUGCAACUGAGGGGAAUGGUAAAUGUUGUUGCAUUUGGAACCAUCAGGUCUUCCUCAAGAAGCAACGUGUACUUGACCCCAAUCAAUUUAUGAUUGUUGUGAAAACACAAACAACGUUUGCGGUGCCAAAAAGCAUUUUCCAGCUCAGAAUUAAGCAGGGAGAAGAAAAAGGCAAUUUCACAUUUUCCGUCUGAAAGAAUGAAUUAUGAACAUCAAGCUUAGCAUGCAUACCAUAGGCAUCCAGAUCCAAGUGCCUCAGACCUCUACUUAAUCAUCUUCUUGACCAACUUUAGAUACAGGAGCAAGCGCCGGUACACCAGUAGUAGCAAAGACUUCCUCACCAUGGUCUUACACUAGGACUUAUGUUGAUCACACAGCUUUCUUUUGAUAUAGUGAGGAUGGAACGCAGUACAAAACUGUGGCUUGAUGGAGGCCACUGUUUGUGCAUUCUCUCUUCCGAGGAAGGACACUAGGCGGCUUCAAGCACAGGUCACAAACAAUUUCUUUCACUCAAUUCUUCCUUUCUUUCGUCGCUUCCAAACCAUACUUCUACCAAGUGAGCGAAGACUGGAAACGGGAAGAGACGCACGAGAAGGCUUUGCACGCAUCCUUUCUCAGCGUUUGGCAUCAGCUGCGACACAAAGCUACGGGCAAAGUAACUGUUGCGUCCUUCCAUCGAUUUGCUACUCAGACAGGGUAGUAACUUUGCGUGAUCAGAUGCCGUCCAUGUUACUGGUCUUCAUUAGCAACUUUUUCGUGCAGAAAACAAAAAACUAAUCACCAAAGUUUAAAUGCUACAAACACUCAGUAUAUAUAGAAAUAUCACUAAAUCUUCCUUCCCAGCUUGCACUUACACCAUCAAACGGUGUAGAAAGUUGUGUUGCUUGCAUCCGACAAGAUCCGAAUCCACCAGCAACCUCUGUUUUGUAAGAUUUCUCCGCCCACAUUUUCUCUUCCAGCAGAAAGAGAGCCACCUUCUCUCCAGCCGAUGAAAAAGGCAUCACUCCCGAUUAAAUCACAUAGUGUUAAGCCACCGCCUUCAAGGUUUUGGUCCAAGUACCUAGCCAUGCCUGCGAGAACCUGAUCCUGUCCACUGCACAUCCUGAUGUAUUUCCAUCGCAAGCCUGGAAGUCAGUGAGGCAGGAGCCUUCUAUUCCUCCUCCACGACCUCCUGAUCACCGAGAAGAGGUAGAGGAAGAAGAGGAAGAGCAGCGCCACCAGCAGCCCGGCAAGGAUUGGAAGAAGCAGCGGGGUUGCUGCCACAGCCGUCGCCUGUAAGUUGAGAUCGUUGGAGGAAGCCAGCUGAAGAUCUGCAUUGUUGCCCCUGCCUUCGCCUUCCAACAGCGAGCUCAGGAUGGCAUUGCUGCUGCUAAUGCCCUCUCCUUCAAAUAACUCGAUGAAAUCAUUGACACUGCCGCUGCUCAUACCGGCGUCAUACAAUAAACUUUGAGAGGUCGAUGUUGAAGUCUCUUCAACUUCUUGAAACUUUUCUGUGUUGAUCCUCUUGGCCUUCCCACCAUCCUUGUCCAAGCUUCGAGGGAACCACCGCCACAUAGAAGGUGGUGGCGAUGGUGAAGCACUGCCACUGUUGCUGCUGCUGCUAGCUUUCUUAGUGUCACCACUCCUGUCGAUUUCCCUCCUGGCCAGUAACUUUCGAGAUGAUCCUGCUGCUGCAUGAGACUUUAGCACCUGUUCAAUAUCUUAGUACGAAUACAUCUGAUUUCUGUCAGCAGAGACAUACCUUGUAGGAUGACUCCUUCGCCAUUGCUGCCGCACUGUUCUUGUAUGGAAGCGUCCUGACGGUGCUGGUGCCAUCGCCUUGCAAGCUCCGCCAAAAGACUGAAGCUGGUGUCGAUGAAAUAUCAGCUUGCCUCAACUUUCGAAAUCCUGCUGCAUGAUGAGACUUUAGCACCUGUUCAGUGUCCAUCUUAGUACGAAUACAUCUGAUUAGAGACAUACCGUGUAGGAUGACUCCUCGGCCACAAGUUCUUCGUUAUUCUUGUCUGGAGGCUUUCUCACGGUGCUGGUCCCAUCGCCUCGCAAGCUCUGCCAGAAGACUGCAGCCGGUGGCGAUGAAAUACCACCUUGUUCUUCUCCAUCUUCUUGCACUGCUGCAAACUUCUGCCUCAGUGGAGCUAUGAAGCGAUCCACCCCGUGGAAUACAGGACCAUUCUCGCUGAUGGGAGGAGCUGGUGCUGCUUCCAGUAGCAUCCGUCGAGAGGUAAUCACUGGGAGCCGAGAAGUGAUCACUGGGAAUCGAUGCCACCCCAGAAAGUUCUUGAGUUCUUCCAAUAAUUCCUGGGACGUCACCUCAUCCUCCUCCAAGCCCGCGUCCAAAAGCCUGCUCCAUAUUUCUGCUUUUAUGGACCGAAGAGUUUCCGGUAACUUCCAAGUCCAGGUCUCAAUCAGCUGCUUAAGUUCCUCCACCUCUAGGUGCAUAUCAGCUUUGGACGGUAGCUCCAGCGAUGGGAGAGGCGACCGCAGUGAAUCCAGACUCCAGGUCCGAAACAAGCUCUUGAUGUCCUCCCAGCUCAGGUUUUCAUCGUCGUCAUCGUUGAGUCCAGUCGUCUUGCCACCAAAAGAAGAAUACUGAACUGAAUCCACAGUGCCAACCAUGACCGCCUCCGGCUGCAAGAGAAGAUUGGGGUGAGCCCGUAAAGCAAACCAUCUUAGCGCUCGAGUUACCUCUUGCAAAUCAUCCUCGAGUACAGGUAAUGGUGGUGGAUCAUACUCGGGACCACUAGGUGCUGGGUCACUGCUGGUGAUCACUGCCUCGAGCUGUGAGGGUGGUGCUACCGAGGACGAACCAAAGUAAUCCUCCAGCUCGAUUGGAGUCACUACCUCUCGCACAAAGCUCAUCGCCGGCUGCAAGAGAAGAUUAACAAGAGGAGCAGACCAUAUAGAUCGAGUUACCUCUUGCAAAUCCUCCAAUGGUGGUGCAUCAUACUCUGGAACACUUGAUGCUGCAUCACUGCUGGCGAUCACUGCCUCGACCUCGAGCUGCGAGGGCAGUGCUGGGAAAUCCUCCGCUUGCUUGUCCGAUCGCGCUGAUGCUGCUGCGCCAGGAAUCUGCACGCACCCGAAAAAUGUCAAAAAAAAAGAGAAGAGAACAGGAGCGAGCUCUACAUACUUCCAGGAGGAUCUUCAAUCCUGUGGCCUGUGUGCUUGCCUGUGUGCUUUCUGCCUGUGCGCUUGGAGCGCGUCGCAACCACGAGAACGCCAACGCCAAAGCUUCCAUCGCCGCCAAUAUAAUAGGGCAUAAGAAAAAGAGGGUUACUAUGUAAAGUAAAAUAAAAAUGAAUUGAAAUAUCGUGAAAGGUCCGAUGAUCGUUAUCUAUGGGUAGAUACUGAAUCUCCUUCAUAUAGAAAUAGAAACACCACUUAUCUGCCGGAUCCAUCCCAGAUCUUAUUCCAGGAUCACCACUAUGACCUUAUGAAUAUGCACCAUUUUCCGUCAACUCUGGUGGUCGAAAAACCAAUUUCGUCGUCUAUUGGGGAGAGCGAUGUCGCACAAGUUUGCAACAGUGCAGCAAUAGCUACAACCACCCAACUGAUUACGGACACAACAGUAGUGCCUCUUCUUGGGAUUGCACUCCUCCAAACGGGUUGCACCGCCAAAUGGGUUAAGCAGACGGAGCCACAACAGAGCACAAAGAUUUCAUUCAAUACAAUGGCCAACAUGCUUAUGUUUAAAAGGCGUGCAUUCUCUUCAGGCGUUAGACAGCCCCACAAAUACAAGUGCCAUUGCAAGCAGCAAGAGGAGGCAGAAUGAGGUGGGAUAUCUGGUGCGAAUCCUGUAUUUUUUUUUUCAUUUUUGUACUAAAAAAGGUUCUUUUUGUUAAUCAAUGUCUUUUAACAUUUUGUCCAGCAGGGUGCCAGGUAUGCCCUCGCUGCCACCUUGUCAACUUUAAAGAUUCUUGUCUAUCAAGAGUGCUGGAGCUCCGGUUUUGAACGUAACCACGCCUAAUCAUUGAUCUAAAACCUUGCUAUUGUAGAGAAAGCAUGCUGAGGCAAAUGGUAAAACAUGCAUUCACCAUCAAGUAAUAGUAUCGUACUUGUCUCUUGCAACUCAGCAUACUCAGUUUGUAGAAUUUAAAACUCAAAAGUUGUCUAGAGUUUGCCCAUACCUUUCCAUGCAAGAGAUUGUCACGUCAGAGCCCUGCAUAGUACGCGUUUCUCUUCCCUUGGACCCAAUCCCUAUCAUCAGCAAACAUAAAUUGCCCGAUCUCAACUUCUUGCGGUAUCAGAAAAUGGUUUUGGUUUCCACGAAGGAUACUCCUUGUCACUUUUUGUGUGCUGAAUUCCUGCUAGUCUCAGCCAUGGAUGUGUUUCUCUGGACUUGAGAUCUGUAAAACUAGAGCUUGAGGUAGGAGUAUGUCUGCACAUGUCUCGCUAGCUCCAUCAACGCCAAUGUCUUUGAUGCUAUGCCAGGGCCGUGGAAGUUAUUAUGAGUCAGACAUUCCUUCCGGUCAAAUUUUUGCAAAUAAAGUUUCCUAUUGAAACUCUUUUCCCAUAUAAAAAAAGCAGGAGCCACUUCAACAUGCAAUUGGGUAAAUACACGAUAGAGUGAUUCAAUAAAGUGGUAAAAAGUAAUCAAAACUUUAUUCAUGUAUUUUUUGUCACAAAUUAAAAUUUUACAAUUGGUUUUAUUUUCAAAAUAAUUGUGAUCUUCACAACACUAAUUCAAAAAGUUUUCAAAUAUUUUUUAAUAAAAAGUUAUGAGGUGGUUUUAGUGUCAUUUAAAUUAUUUUUUAUUACUUUGUUGUACCGCUCAAUUAUCACCUACGGUUUUGAUACAAAAUGGAUAUGAAAGUGGAUAUAGUUUCUGAGUAAAUAUUGAAGAACCAGAUAGUGUAAAUGAUGGUUAUAGCUUCUUUCUCAACCUCUUAAGGAUCUUUUGGAGUUUCUCAAAAGCAUACAAGUGAGUUGAUGACUAGGUAAAUGACUUAUCCUUUCUAGAGGGGAAGAAACUUGAGCAUAAUCUUGGAUGAAACACUUAAAGAACUUUGAAACUUUGGUUAUUUGGGCAUGGAAUGAGGUUAAAUAUAAUGUAUAUGAUUAUGGGAUAAAACUUGAAUAUACUCUCACAUUUUUAGAACUUGGGAUAAAAUAGUUAUUAAAGGUUCUCUCAUCAAAUAAUUUCAGAGCAAAUGACAUGAGUAUUGAUUAGUAGCCACUUAAAAUAUAAUAUACCUUUGAAUUAAGUAUAUUCUUACUCUUAAUUCAUAAAUACAUUCUUUGUUUUGUAAGGCAUCUACUGAUAAAGGAAUCCAUUGUGUAAUUGGAUGAUUAGUUGUUUUAUAUGAAAUAACCAAUCUAUAUAAUGGAAAGAUUGACAAAUUCAAUGUGGAAAUGGAGGUGUUAGUUUUCCUUAGUUCAAUAAAUAUUGCUAAUAAAUGAGCACAUUAAAAUUGCUAUGCUAGCCCUUAUAUUUGAUUUCAAAAUCACACUAAUUUUGUAUUUGGUUUAAGUGCUCUAUAUGUAUAGUCCCAUUUUAGACACCCAAAAGUACCACUGACAUAUUAAUUUCUUAUGCUAUGAAAAAACAGAAUAUGGUGUAGGUAGUUUUAGACUACUAAUGAGAUAAUAUAAACAAAUAUACCACAAUUGAUUUAAAGCAUAAAUGCCUAUUCACUAAGUCCCACUAACUUGAACUUCCUCACUAUGUAACUAUAUCCUUUGUCACUAAGUAAAAACCACUCCUCUUCCUUUCUAUGGUUUGUGAAUCACAGCUCCAAGGCAUCCUCAUGUGCCUAAGUUAGCCUUCUCGCUAAGAGUAUAUAAUCAAGGUUGGGACUCUAAUUUAACCUUUGCAUAUGCAUCUACAGAUGGCAUCAUAUAAGAUGCUUAGUAUGUGAUGCACCAAACUUAAAUUUAUGGUAAUUAGCUUUUCUUUCAUAAGUGCAUUACGGAUCACAACUUAAAAACCUCAUUCAUCCUAACUUUCAUGUUCUCUCACUGGGUAAAUUAGGUAAUCAACUUAUAAUCAUACAUGGACUUCUCCAUGUUUGGCCUUAUGGGCCUUCUUUUUUAAAGUUAACUCUAGGAAUUUAAUUUUUUUGACACCAAGUCACUUAACUGUAAGUAAAAGAGACAAUCCAUUAGGGUUCAAAUAUAAAUAUAAAGGAUUUAUAAAAAAGAGUGCACCCCCUUUUUCAAUUGGUUAAGGGAUAUUUGGGGUUAAGCAUCUUUAGAUUUAAGUAAUAUUUUACUGUAUAACCUCCUAAAUGAAAAGUCUAAAUUCAAGAGAUUAUAUUAAUCCACGUAAAAUGGUUCUAUGCAUAAGCAAAUCCUCAAAUUCCAAACUUCUAUUUAAAGUAAUUCUUAUGAAUAUGUAGGGAUUACUUCCCUAACCUUGAUAGCUUAACUUUAUAGCAAGCUUCAAAACUUCUACUCUAAUUUCACAUAUAAUUACAAACCAAUUAUACUUGGUUUCCUAAUUACUAUUUUACUCAAAUUUGCCUUUGGAAUAAUAAGGGGAUUUCACCCUUUAGUUUGUCAAGACCUCUCUUUUCACAAAUUUUCUACUUAUCAUUUAGUUUAAUAUAUACACUUUCAUACUUUAGACUCUUUAUAGUACUAUGGUUGCAAGCAGUAAAUCCUAGAUUAAGUGACUAAAGUAAAAUGAAAAAUUUAAUCUCAAAACUAAAUUAUUUAUAAUUCCAAAAUAAGUGAAAUUUACUUUAUAACUCACAUAGAUUGGGAAUAUCAACUAUUUGAUCUCCUAUGGGAGAUAGAGUUAGCUUUUGAAUAUUUUACCAAGUCACCCCACUUGUCCAUCCAUUUUCAACUUAGCUUUGGACUCCUCAAUCAUCACCCACCAUAUAAGUAGAGCCUUCCUUAGUCAUACUAGGCUUUAGACUCCUUAAUCAUCACCCACCACAUAAAUGUAACCUUCCUUAGUCAUACUAGCCCUACUAGUUCCAUUAGAAUCCUUCCUUUACCAUCCCAUAGUGACUCACUAAACCCUCCAAGGUUUUGGAGAUAAUUAUUUUAGGCUUUCACCCUUAGUCUCGAAUUUGAUCUCAAACUUAGUCUUGGACCUAGUUUUGGAUUUAGUUUUGGAUUUGGUUGUAGACUUAGUUUCAAACUGAGUCUCAGACUUAGAUGUAAGCCACAAUUUAUUUUUUUCAAUUUGUUAACUUACCUCGUCUAUCCGACCACCACGGCCUUGGCUUUAGCCUUAGUUAAGUUUGUGAAACACAAAAUCCCUAAGCCCCAAAGUGGAGCCGGAAGGGCGCCACAUGGUAGUGGCCGAAGCAAAAGCCAAACGAGCGUAACAUGUUUGGACUAAAAGCUCCGACUUGAAAGGUCGAGAGUGGGAGUGGAACUCCCAACAAAAUGCUCGAGGAACAAGCGCGAAGCGAGCAAUAAGCGAGGCUCUAAAAAGGGACCCAAAAGGACCAAGAUGGAGUCCGCGAUGGAGUCCGAGGUGGAGUCUGAGAUGGAGUCUGAGAUGGACCUGAGAUGGAGUCCGAGAUGGACCGAGACGGAGUCCGAGAUGGAGUCCAAGGUGGAGUCCGAGAUGGAGUCCGAGAUGGACCCGAGAUGGAGUCCGAGAUGGACCGAGACGGAGUCCGAGAUGGAGUCUGAGAUGGACCCAAGAUGGAAUCCAAGAUGGAGUCCGAGAAGGACUCGAGAUGGAGUCCGAGGUCGAGACCGAGACCGGGACCGAGACCGAGACCGAGACCGAGACCGAGACCGAGACCGGGACCAAGACUGAGACCGAGGCCAAGGCCGAGACCGAGCCCGAGCCCGAGUCUGAGUCCAAGUCCGAGUCCGAGUUCGAGCUUGAGAAGGUGAAAGCCCAAAGCGUUCGUCUCCCAGACCCUAGGGGGUUUGGUGAGCUCCAAAAGUAUAGUAAGGGGGAGGACUGUAGUGGAGCCAGUUUGGCCCAGGAAGGCCAAACCCAGUGUUGGGUAAUGAACUGACCACUGGGAAGUCCAAGACUAGAGUGAAUACGGACUGACAAGCGGGGUAGCUUGGUGAAGUGUUCAAGAGCCGGCUCUAGUUCCCCCGGGAGAUCGAUUGGCCGAUGCUCCCAAUCCAAGUGUGGGUGGCACUACCUACUUGGAUACCUGGUGUGGCUCAACAGAACCUCGCUCUAAGCACAUGGCUAAAGCACCUAAAGGCGGAAGGUGGGGAGAGUACCCGUGGGCCACGGUGUUCCGAAAUAUUGUCCCGAAGUCCCAAAUGGGGGAAACCGGGCCUGUGGGCCUUGAUCUGGUGGCAGUGCUGGUGAACAUAGCCAUGGACGGAAAAGGGACUUGGCAGGAACUGACAAAGGGAUAUUGGGGAAGGCUAUUCCCCAUGUUUGUGGGCAUCCUAAGGAUGCUAAGGAGUGGAUUUGGGAAGACCACUUGUGGAUGGAUGGCCCAGUCUUGGAGAGACGGGAUUGUGAUACAAGUGGUAUUGGACCACUAGUGCGGCAAAGGUGAAUGGGCAUGGCCUUAGCAUAACGGGCUGAUAUGUCUAUAGUACCUUUGGGUGUCGAUCUUGGGACUGGACACGUGGAGCACUUGGACUAAGUGCAAGGGAUGAGUGGCAUGGAUGCCAUUCUCGGGACUAGUAAGUCCCAAGUCCUGAAUUGAACUUAAGGAGGUUGUGAAUGAGACUCUUCCAAGUGGACAGAGGUGUGGUUAAGUGACUAAAGUAAAAUGGAAAAAUUAGUCACUUACAACUUGGUAUCAGAGUUGUUCCUUAGUCCGACUUUUAUUGGUGUUGAAGUAUACCACCACUAGUAUUGGCAUUGGAAGGUCCUAAGAGUGGGCCUAUCCUUAAGGAGUAGCAUGUUGAGAGGACAUGGCUCUCCACUCAAGUUCAUGCAUGAACUUGGGCGCGAUGUGGUGGAUAGAAAAGGGGCCAGUAAGGGAACGACUUUGGGAUCUUGGGAACAGUAUAAGGGUUUCCUCAGAGAGUUGAGAAUGUGAUCCAGAUGAGUGUUUGACGUAGCCAACUGGCUAAUGUAGUUGUGGUAAAUGACUAUAGUUAAAAUCACGUGAAAGAUAGGGACUCCAAAGCAAUAAAGGAGUCACAAGAUUAUCCUCAUAUAGUUGAGGUUAGUGCUUAUGAAUGUGAGACCAAAAGUAAUGACCACAGGAGGUCAAAUACAGAAAAGGACACGGUUCUUUCAAGGUUCCCAAAGAUGAUUCUAGGUAGCUUAGUACCUAGAAAGGCCAAGUGUAAAUGGUUCAAAGCACAUGCGAAAUCAGAGUGGCGCAACAGAAGCGUGGUCUUAAAGCUUGCCAUGAGGCAAGGCUAUCAAGGUUAGGGAAGUAGUUCCCGAGUGUUCAAAGAGAGGGCUUUGAACGAAAAUCGAUGGUCAACGACUUUCACGCUUAUGCAGGAACCAUGUUACAGUGGUCGGAGGACUUGCCAAGCGAGAUUAGCAAGUUGGGGGAACGAAUACCCUAGUUGAAGGUGAUUACUUAUAAAGGGUGGGCCACGGGGCCAAGCAUGGAGGAGUCCAUGCAUGAUCACGGACUUGUCAAGUGAGAGGACUUGGCAGUGUGGAGGAACUAGGUUCCUAAGCUGUGAUCUGUAGCGCGCUUUAAAUAUAAGUUGGUGCACCGGUGUGGGGAGUCAUGCUAGGCAUCUAGGGUGAUACCGUCCGUAGAUGCAUAUAUGGAGGUUGGGUCCAAGUCCCAACCCUCUAGUGCUUGGGUUCGAGUCCUAAAUCAUUAGGGUGUGGUGAUGGUUUGGAAUAUGAAGACACUCAUAUUUCGGUGGUCAUGGACUCUCAGUGAGGAGACUGGUUUGUGUCAAGACCCCUAACAAGAUCAAGACUAGAAAAUGCUAAAGACAAAGAGAAAAAGCUAGUGAAAACAAAGAAGAGGCCUUAGACUGGUGUUGAUUCAAAUUGUGGAGAAAUGGAACAAGGCUAAUUUAUAUAUACUAUAGGUUGAUGAAGCUCCACCACUCUUGGAUCGAAGAUGGCCUAAAUAUAGUUGAGGUUGAGGAGGUGCCACAUCAAUAUCAAGAAUGUGGCUCGAUACUCAGGAAUCGGGAAGUGUUUUGAGAGUCAGGAAUAGGGAAGUGUCUCGAGAGUCAGGAAUAGGGAAGUGUCUCGAGAAUCAGGAAUGUGGUCUGCAGGUCAGGAAUCCAAUGAGAUUCAGGAAUGUGGCAAGGAUUGGGGGAUUCCUGACAGCACCCCCUCCUCAAGAACGAGUGGAACGAGAAUGUGAAUGAGAACGACGAGGAGGAUGAGAUGAGCGGCGAGGGAUGGGAGAUGGAGAAAAAGAAUGAGGACUGGGAUGACUAGGAUAGCGGCGAUGGAAGUCCUGAACAAGGUCAGGAGAAUGAAUUAGGUUGUCUGCAGGUUCCCAAGUGCGUUCUUUAGGCCCGUAACCCUUUCAGUCGACCAGAUAGUAGAGUUUAGACCGUGAAAUCUUUGAAUCAAGGAUGUCCUGAACCUCGUACUCAGACCCAUCCUCGAGCUGCACUGGUGGAGGUGGAGGAAUGACCCGAUUGGGAAUAGGACUGGGAAUAUAAGGCUCAAGGAGAGAGGAAUGAAAAACGGGGUGAAUUUGAUAUGAGGAGGGAAGUGCAAAGCGAUAAGUGACAGGAUUAAUGAUGGCAGUGAUAGGGAAAGGACCGAGGCGUUUGAAAUCAAGUUUUGGACAGGGCUUGGUGGUGGAGAUAUUUCACCUGAGGAGCCAAACUUUAUCCCCGAUAUUGUAAGGGGGACAAUCCUGACGAUGGACAUUGGCAAAUGUUUUGUGAGAUUCCUGAGCACGAUGGAGGUGGAAGGAGAUGGAGUUGUGGAUUUCUUGGAGGUUGGAGACAAAUGCCUCAGAGCGGGGAUUUGAAUGAGAGGAUUCGGAUGGAGAAGGAAGUGAGAGAUUGAAUCGGGGAUUUCGGCUAGAGUUUGCAAAGAAGGGGGAAAUUCGAAGAGAGGAGUGAAUAGAGUUGUUAUAGGAGAACUCAGCAAGGGGAAGGAUAUCGAACCAGUUAUCCUGAUGAUAGUUGAUGAAGCACCUCAAGAAUUGUUCCAACGUCUGAAUCGUUCGCUCGGACUGCCCAUCAGUUUGAGGAUGAUACGCCGAAGAAAGGUUGGCCUUCACUCCAAGCAGCUGCAAAAACCGUUGCCAGAAAUGAGAGAUGAACUGAGGCCCCCGAUCUGAAACCACAUCUAUAGGAAUCCCAUGAAGUUGGAAAAUUUCCCUGAAUACCAGUUUUGCCAUGUCCUCGCCCGAAAACUCCUUGGUACAUGGCAAGAAGUGCGCCAUCUUUGUGAAGCGAUCCACCACGACUAAAAUGCUGUUGAAGCCUCCAGAACUCGGAAGAUCACUCAAGAAAUCCAUGGAGAUGGAUUCCCAAGGACCUGAAGGGACCGGAAGGGAACGAAGCAAACCUGAAGGAAGGUGGCGAGGUACUUUAUUCCGGGCGCAAGUGUCACAGGAGGUAACAAAAGCUUUGAUGUAGUCGUCCAUGUGAGGCCACCAAAAGUCCCGUGCAACUAGCUCAUAGGUUUUCGCAAUGCUGAAGUGACCAGCAGUCGGGCUAUCGUGGCACGCCAUUAGGACCAACCUUCGAGCAUCACCUUCAGGAACGUAAAGCUGCUCCCCACGGUAUAAUAAGCCAUCUAAGAACUCGAACUCGUCAAAUCGCCAGCAGUCGGGAGUCACAGGGUGUCCAGCCUGAAGAUGGGGGAAAAUGUCGCUGGCGAGAUCAUCGGAUUGAAGAUCGUUUCUGAUGGCAUCCAUCAAGGAAGAGUCCUGAAGGGCCAGGGAAAUUGCCAUAAUUUGAAGCCGAUCAGGACCGAGGAUAAUUUGAUCUUGUUGAUCGAAGGCAGGAUUACCAGGCCUGAGACUAAGAUAGGAGCGCCUUGAAAGAGCAUCAGGAAGGCCUUGAAGCUUUCCAGGUCUGUACUUGAUAACAUAGUCAAACCGACUCAGGAAUUGUGCCCACCUUGCUCGACGACGGCUUAAAACUCGAGAAGUGGCAAAGUACUCGAGAUUUUUGUGAUCCGUCCAGACUGUUGUUUGAUGGCCCGCCCCCUCCAAGAAACGGCACCACUCUCCAAAGGAAUCCACGAUGGCAAGGAGCUCCUUGUCGUGGAUUUCGUAAUUGAUCUCCGCAGGCUGGAAUUUCCGAGAAUGGAAAGCGACUAGAUGAAGUUCUUGAUCCACUCCGAGUUGAGACAGCACAGCACCGAUGGCAAAGUCGGAGGCGUCAGCCUCGAUGAAGAAAGGUUGUGAGGAAUCAGCAUGGAUCAAAACGGGAGCAGAACUGAAGGCUGCCUUGAGAGUGUCGAAGGCGUGCUGGGCAGCAGUAGACCAAGAGAAGGGAACAUCCUUGCGAGUGAGAUGCGUGAGAGGAAGGACAAUGUCAGAGUAGUGAUCAAUGAACUCGAGCAAUCGGGGAGGCUUCUUGGGACACACAACUGCUUUGUGAUUAGGAUCAGCACAGUAGAGGCAAAGAUUAUGAGAUAUUCGACGUUGCUUCUUAGCAGAACUCAACUUCCCUCUAAUGAGUCGGGGAGUACCAGAAAUAUCCAUCGGGACCGGAGCAGUAGGUUCAGGACUAUGCCCCGAAGACUCAAGCUGGGAUUCCUGAGACUGGGACGGAAAAACAGCGGCACGGCGACUUUCCUGACGACGUUCAAAGAGACGAUUGUCACAUCGAACAGCUUUGUUGAUGGCGUCCGACAGGUCCUUGGGAUCCUCCAUGGUGAGCAACAAAUCCUUGACACCGUUGUUGAGGCCGAAACAAAAUUGGUCAAUCAGGGCCCGCUCAUCCCACUGAGUGUCCAAGGCAAGGAGUUGGAACUCUGCAGCAUAGAUCGAGGCAGGACAAGACCCCUGAGAGAGACGUCUCAUCUUUGUGGUAGCAGCCCAAACCCGAUCCGUCUUGCCAAAACAUGCUUCGAGCUUCUCUUUGAACAAUUGAAGAUCCAUCAGCUCCGGAACCACGACCCCUUUCAUGCUCUUCUCCAGAAGAGGAGAAAACCAUGACAAAGCUGCACCCUUGAGCAACGUCCCAAUCGCGCUGAUUUGAGACUCGGGAGUGGGGUACCGCCGAUGUUGAAGUGCAAAGAUCAGCUCCAUUUGGUUCAAAAAUCCACGAAGCUCCGAACGCUUGCCUGAAAACUUCACCGGGAAACUCACCUUCGGUUCAGGAACUUUGUUGGAUCCUUGAGCCGAAAGUGAAGCAAGCUCCUUACUGCAUGCAAAGAAGGGUCGCCUUCAGCUCGGUAUUCUCAGACUGGAUUUUUGCAAGGACUUCGGCAAAGAAAUCAAAAUGGCUUGGAGACUCCAUUGGCAAGAAGAAAGAAAAGAAAGGGGGAAAAAGACAAAGGCAAUCAAAUAAUCAAAGCGAGCUAAAAGAAAAGCAAAAACCACAAUCUAAAUCAAAUUGUCAAGACCCCCAACAAGAUCAAGACUGGAAAAUGCUAAAGACAAAGAGAAAAAGCUAGUGAAAACAAAGAAGAGGCCUUAGACUGGUGUUGAUUCAGAUUGUGGAGAAAUGGAACAAGGCUAACCUAUAUAUACUAUAGGUUGAUGAAGCUCCACCACUCUUGGAUCGAAGACGGCCUAAAUAUAGCUGAGGUCGAGGAGGUGCCACAUCAAUAUCAGGAAUGUGGCUCGAGACUCAGGAAUCGGGAAGUGUUUUGAGAGUCAGGAAUAGGGAAGUGUCUCGAGAGUCAGGAAUAGGGAAGUGUCUCGAGAAUCAGGAAUGUGGUCUGCAGGUCAGGAAUCUGACGAGAGUCAGGAAUGUGGCAAGGAUUGGGGGAUUCCUGACAGUUUGGGCACACUGCCAAGCGAGGGAUGCCUCGGAGUCGUGAUGCACGGUUAGAUUGUUUAGAGUGAAAGCUCGGCAUAUUUAACUUGAACACUUUGGUGCAAAAGGGCACCAAAGACAUGGUGAAUGAGGUGAGGACACCCAAGUCUCAGUUGCUAUAGAUCCUUGGCCGAAAGGGCUGGCUUGGGCACACCGCCAAAUGUGGGAGAUGCCCCCGGGGUCAUAGUCAACAAUUUAAAAGGGUCUGGAAGACUUAGUUCCUAUUGGUAGACCUGUUAAGGGGUCAAGAUGAGAUCACCAGGUGAUCUUGUGGCUAAAGUCUUUUUUUGGGUUAAGGAAUAUGAUUCCCCGUUCAAAGUGUUGAUUUGAACUACUGAUAAUGGUGUGGCUUGGUCGAGGUGACCAAGUGGGAAGGACACCUAAAGGGAAAUCAAUUGUGCCAAUACGAUGGUAUAGUAGGUCUAAGAAAGUAGUCUCGAGGAGAGACCCAUGAGAGGGUCACAAUGUUGGGCCAUGGAAGGGGCCUAUAGCAAAAGUUGCUAAAGAGACCUACUAGGGGUGAGCACCCUCUGGACUUGGCGAAGUGGAGUUUUGCCAUGGAACCAAAAGAAUACCUCAAGGAGGGAGGUAGUGAUCCUAUGUUGCUUGAUGUAACAAUCAAUGGAUAGGAGCAAAAGACUAAUGGCCAAGUUUAGGCCAUGGAAUUUAAUGGGAGGAAUCCAAAUGGCAAGGUUAGCUAAGGAACACUUAUGUGUUUGAUGCUAACGGAUUGCGGGAAAGGAAGUGGACUUCCAAGGAUAGAUUCCCAAGUGCUCCAAUUUGGCAAGUAAAAGCUCCAAGUGAGGAGUGGCAAAGUAGCCAAAGGAUAGGGUCGUGGACAGCCCAGGCACAAAUGAUGAUAAUUGGAACGUAGUGCCAAGGGUGGCACAAAAUAGAAAAGAGGAUGAUGGUGCCCUCAAGUAAAGAACUUCCUAGGAUAAGGAAGUGGAGUUGCACUAUGUGCAACGUAAGGUGUCGGAGACACCUAGGAAAUUGACUGUGAAAAGUCAAAAUUAAAAGUUCCAAGUGCAAAGGUUAUGUCCAUGGAAUCUGAGAAGAAUAAGUAGUGGAAUUGAGUUAGAGAAGGUGUCUCUAACCAGUUUAGCGGGAACUGAACCAAUAAAAGGGAGCAAACCACCCUAGGUGGUCAAGUGAGUCUCUAGGUUGGAGAGACUAUACUCCUUAGAGGAUGAACAAGGCAAAGUGAGCCUUCGGGGUCAAACCAUAGAAAAAUAUUGGUUGGGUGCCAAGGAUGGAAAUGGUAAUACUUGCGGGUGUUAGUUUAUAAAAGGGUUUACCGUUCGAUGAGGACAUCAAAAUUCGUCUAUGGGUGGUGGAGUUGUGAGACACAAAAUCCCUAAGCCCCAAAGUGGAGCCGGAAGGGCGCCACAUGGUAGUGGCCGAAGCAAAAGCCAAACGAGCGUAACACGUUUGGACUAAAAGCUCCGACUUGAAAGGUCGAGAGCGGGAGUGGAACUCCCAACAAAAUGCUUGAGGAACAAGCACGAAGCGAGCAAUAAGUGAGGCUCCAAAAAGGGACCCAAAAGGACCGAGAUGGAGUCCGAGAUAGAGUCCAAGGUGGAGUCCGAAAUGGAGUCCGAGAUGGACUUGAGAUGGAGACCGAGAUGGACCGAGAUGGAGUCCGAGAUGGAGUCCGAGGUGGAGUCCGAGAUGGAGUCCAAGAUGGACCCGAGAUGGAGUCCGAGAUGGACCGAGACGGAGUCCGAGAUGGAGUCUGAGAUGGACCUGAGAUGGAAUCCAAGAUGGAGUCCGAGAAGGACCUGAGAUGGAGUCCGAGAAGGACUUGAGAUGGAGUCUGAGGUCGAGACCAAGACCGGGACCAAGACCGAGACCGAGACCGGGACCGGGAUCGAGACCGAGACUAAGGCCAAGGCCGAGACCAAGCCCGAGCCCGAGUCCGAGUCCGAGUCCAAGUCUGAGUCCGAGUCCGAGUUCGAGUUCGAGCCUGAGAGGGUGAAAGCCCAAAGCGUUCGUCUCCCAGACCCUAGGGGGUUUAGUGAGCUCCAAAAGUAUAGUAAGGGGGAGGACUGUAGUGGAGCCAGUUUGGCCCAGGAAGGCCAGACCUAGUGUUGGGUGAUGAACUAACCACUGGGAAGUCCAAGACUAGAGUGAAUACGAACCGACAAGCGGGGUAGCUUGGUGAAGUGUUCAAGAGCCGGCUCUAGUUCCCCCGGGAGAUCGAUUGGCCGAUGCUCCCAAUCCAAGUGUGGGUGGCACUACCUACUUGGAUACCAGGUGUGGCUCAACGGAACCUCGCUCUAAGCACAUGGCUAAAGCACCUAAAGGCGGAAGGUGGGGAGAGUACCCACGGGGCUCGCAUAGGGCCACGGUGUUCCGAAAUGUUGUCCUGAAGUCCCAAAUGGGGGAAAGGAGGAGGAGCAGUCCUCUAGUGUAGUGAUUACGGAUACGGUCACAUGGUGAGGAAGUCCUAGAGGACAAUGGGACUUAGUGGCUGGGCCUGUGGGCCUUGAUCUGGUAGUAGUGCUGGUGAACAUGGCCAUGGACGGAAAAGGGACUUGGCAGGAACUAACAAAGGGAUAUUGGGGAUGGCUAUUCCCCAUGUUUGUGGGCAUCCUAAGGAUGCUAAGGAGUGGAUCUAGGAAGACCACUUGUGGAUGGAUGGCCCAGUCUUGGAGAGACGGGAUUGUGAUACAAGUGGUAUUGGACCACUAGUGCGGCAAAGGUGAAUGGGCAUGGCUUUAGCGUAACGGGCCGAUAUGUCUGUGGUACCUUUGGGUGUCGGUCUUGGGACUAGACACGUGGAGCACUUGGACUAAGUGCAGGGGAUGAGUGGCAUGGAUGCCAUUCUCGGGACUAGCAAGUCCCAAGUCCUAAAUUGGACUUAAGGAGGUUGUGAAUGAGACUCUUCCAAGUGGACAAAGGUGUAGUUAAGUGACUAAAGUAAAAUGGAAAAAUUAGUCACUUACAAAGUUCUCUUGCCAAGGUUCCCACCUAUCGUACCAGCUCCUACUUAGUCCUAUUUAAUUUCAGCAACUCACUACACAAGCAAUGGAGUGUUAGCUAUCCAUUCACGAAUUCUCAAAUCUCUCCCAAUCCCCCUCCCUAGGUUAGAUUGGACUUAAGGUUCAGCUAUACUCCCCAUAGGCACGAGAAACUAAGCACACCAAGCCUCCAGGUUCCUAACAUCCCUUGGUACAACAAGACUUAAUCAUAAGACCCAUCUAUGAUUAAGUCUUGUUGUACCAAAGGCCUGGAUUGAGUGGCAAUUAAUCCUAACUAUCAUGUUUACAUUCCUCCAAUGCCGGACAAUCAUCCAAUAUUUGCCACACUUGCAAACCAAAUCCUCACCACCAGGGUGGAGCGAGCUUUGGUCAAUGUACACUCCAUGUUGGUGGUGUUGUUGAACACCUUUUGCAACUUGUUGAUCUUUCUGGCCAGGAUAUGCUUCUUCUAGAUGGCCAUUCUUGAUGAAAAGCUCAAUCACUAUUGUCAUGAGUUUGGUGUUUGCUAUGCUUUCAAAAUGUUGAUGUGUGAGUAAAGGUAAGGUAAUGGUUAUCCUUCCUUUGUGCCCAUCCUUGGGAAAGGGGAACUUUUUUCUCUAUUUCAUUGCCAAGGAGGAGAGAUCUAGUAGCUUUGGCAAGAUUCAUCCUUGGGAGAAGAUAUAGCAAAAGAUGUGGAGCACUUUUUCUCUUUCGCUCUAGGUUUGGAGAAAGCUAUAGAUUUGAACAUACUACUAUUGCAGCUUUGGCUCAUACACUUCUAGCAUUGCCUGUGCCUUUCUUUCCCUUACAGUGUUGCGGGCAAUCCAAGGAAUGCACAACAUCCAUAUUGCAAUUCAUGGUGGCUAUCUUGAACAAAGAGCAAGACAACAACAAUCUGCAGUGAUCCCAUGCUUAUGUGGCCAUUAAAAUUAAAUUUAUGGCAUAGAUUAGUAUUGCUACUUCUAAUCAAGGUGCAAUGGCUCUAGUAACUAAUCUUUUAAAAUAUUCUUAAGCAUAGUUUACUUUUCUUAUACUUUUGAAGUAGCUCAGAUUUGGUUGGGUGAUUUGGUCAAAGUAUGCAAAACCCUAAUCUAAAUGAAUAACAUAAGAAUAUUUUAAAAUAUUCAAGUAUAUUCUAGAUAGGCUUCAAGGAAGCACUGGAAAAAUCAAUCACUUCAAAAGUAGGAAUAAAUUAAUUUUAAAUAAACAACACUUCUAAAAACUAAUCAGGUUAAAGCAAGAAAAUAAAAUCAAUCUUAAAUAAAAGUUUUAUAGUUGACCAUGUCAUAAUGAUAUCUUGUCCUUAUCCUUUAUUUUCCCUCUUGAUCUAAAAAACUUAUCAAAGCCAUAUUUCUAAGUCAGUUUCUUAACCCUAUCCGUGCAAGCAUAUGCAUCUGGAUAAAUUGUAAAGUGACCACCCUAGGAGAGGCAAAAUUGACAAGAACUUAGACUUCUAUCAUGGCUCUGUAGAAAUGACUUAGCAACACAUUUAUAAAAAAGAAAGAAGAAAUACAUUGAGCAGUGAGGAAUAGAGCGAUGAUCUUACUUCUCAUUGUCCGCAAAUGCACAUCUGUCCAUGACAUGUGUCCAUGCAGCAUUGUCUUAGGCCAGUUUUGUCUCACACGAUUGAUUACCUGCGCUCUUGGAUGAUCUGUUGCUCUUGGUAAUAGAUUGCUGAUGAGAUUCGUGGCAUCCUUUAGAACAGGUACAAAGAAAAGUUUCAAACCUCAAAGGCUGAGGAAGAGCCACAAGCAAGAGGCUUGUGCUCCAGAGUGAUAGCACCGCUUUCUUCCAUAAUUUUUCCAUAAGCUUCUUUAUGAGGGCUCCUGGAUCCCUCUGAAAAACCCUGGCAAGCAGUGAUUUGUUAAUAUUUUGGUGCUUACCUCCUGUGAAGACCUAGUGCCGUGGCAACACACCCGGGCUGGAGCAGUGGCAAGCAUAGCUCUAACAUUGCGAAUCCACGCUCCAUCCCAGAUGUUCAUGAUUUCCUGUGGUAAUCAACCUGCAUUCCCCAGAUUAUCGGCCCAAAGCUGUGAAAGCGCCAAGCAUUGACUGAUCCAGACAAAGCCAUGGCACCUGGCGCUGAAAGGCGUCUGCCGUAAACCUUCAACUCUCCCGCUUCAUUUGAGCCGGAGAUUAUUCCCGAGCAUAUUAUAUACGUGAUAAAUCGUGAUAAAGAAAUCAUGAUGCUAGGGAAAGAGAAUGCAGAGGGCCAGGGCUUUCCAUUCAAUUUGGGUGCUGGAUUCCAAAGCCCGUGAAUACAUUACCGUUCUACAAGAAGGUCAGGUUUGACGCACCUCACAUUUACUCAUUUGGACGCUAAAGCUAUUUUAUCUGGUUUUAGGGCAUCUUUUCUUUGUUUUUUUAAUUUUCUAGGAGGCAAUCGAUCAAUCCAUCGACGCAGCUGUGGAUCGUGGGACGCGCCAGUCGCUUCCGUGACCGCGAAUGCAGAGACCGCGCGGCCAGAUCUGCGCGGCCACCGGUGAGUCUUUCAUCCAAAUCGCCCAGGGCGAGGGUUUGGGGACGCGAAUUCGGGCAUGCGGCAGUGAGUCCCUGAAACCGCUCGCCUUUGGGUGCUCUCCAGCUCCAGAUCUGGCUGCUCGCGCCGGGACGAGGCGAUGAUGCUGCUCCUCUGCUCCACAUCCCAGCAAGGCGUGGCGUCUCUCUUCUCCGCGUCAUAGCCACAAAACAAUGCGUCUUCCUCUCUACAGCACGGUAAGCGCGUAGCUAGAUCGAGCUCGAGAGUUGUUCUUGCGAGAGAUGAGAGAAAAGAUUGCCAGAUGAGAAAGGAGAGCUAGAUCGGAGAGAAAGACGGUAGCUUCACAACCAGGGAGAUAGAAGUGAUCCAGGAGAUAGACAUGUAGAUUGCGAGAGAGAGAAAAGAGAGGCUUAGAGUUUUUGGUGAGGUGUGAGAAAGAGACAAGAAGUAGAGGUUUUUGUGAUGAAGUGUAGAUUGCGAGAAGAGAGGCAUAGAGAUUUUUGCGAUGUAUUUCUCUUACACUUUGCUUCGUGCUCCAAAACAGGGAGAGACACAGGGUCCAGGGAAUUGCACUUACUGCAACCUCCUCCUCAAGCAGCAAAGUCCCGGGCGAGCCAGCCGCUUCUUCAAGGCCGCCGCCGCCAUGCCUCCCUCGGCCGUGCACGACUGCUCCUUCCCUUCCACGCCAGGCAAAGUGAAGAUGGAGAGGAGCAACUACUUCGGCAGAGUUGCAAGCCGGUGGCAGUCGUUCGGCCCGGGGAAGAUCGUCUUCUGGUGCGUCGCGCUGCUAGCUUUGCUCGUGGUGGCGGUCUUCUUCUACGCGACGUCCCCCGGCGUCCACAACAGCUUCGAGCAGAGCUUGAGCUUGCGGGAGGCGAAGAACGACGUGGUGAGCUGGGGGGGAUCCGUGUGGGAGAAGCACGUCCGCCACUCGGCGCACGCCAAGCGAGAGAACGGCCUGGUCGUGCUCGUCACCGGCGCCGCCGGAUUUGUUGGGACUCACGUCUCCCUGGCUCUCAAGAAGCGGGGUGACGGAGUGAUUGGCCUGGACAACUUCAACAGCUACUACGAUCCGUUCCUCAAGCGCGCGCGGCAGGGGCUCCUGGAGAAGCAGGGGGUGUUCGUCGUCGAGGGCGACAUCAACAACAUCGCGCUGCUGCGCAAGCUCUUCGACGUGAUCACUUUCACGCACGUCAUGCACCUGGCGGCGCAGGCCGGGGUGAGAUACGCGAUGGAGAACCCGGGCUCUUACGUCCACAGCAACAUCGCCGGCUUCGUCAACCUCCUGGAGGCUUGCAAGGAGGCGAGCCCGCAACCGGCGAUCGUCUGGGCCUCGUCCAGCUCCGUCUACGGCCUCAACUCCAAGGUCCCCUUCUCGGAGAUCGAUCGAACCGACCAGCCGGCGAGCUUGUACGCGGCGACCAAGAAGGCCGGCGAGGAGAUCGCUCACACUUACAACCACAUCUACGGACUCUCCAUCACGGGCUUGCGGUUCUUCACGGUCUACGGGCCUUGGGGGCGGCCGGACAUGGCUUACUUCUUCUUCACCAAGGCGAUCCUGCAAGGGAAGCCAGUGAACAUCUACCAGGGGCCGAACCAAGUGGAUCUAGCUCGCGACUUCACUUACAUCGACGAUAUCGUGAAGGGCUGCUUUGGAGCGCUGGACACGGCGACUCCGAGCACAGGGACUGGGGGGAAGAAGCGGGGACCGGCGCAGCUCCGGGUGUACAACCUCGGGAACACUUCGCCCGUGACGGUGCCGACCUUGGUGGCGAUUCUGGAGAAGCAUCUCAAGGUGAAGGCCAAGAGGAAUGUGGUGAGGAUGCCGCGCAACGGGGACGUGCCUUUCACCCACGCAAACGUGACGCUGGCGAGGGUGGAGCUGGGCUACAAUCCCACCACGGAUUUGCAAACGGGGCUCAAGAAGUUUGUCAAGUGGUACCAGCUCUACUAUGGUGGAGGAUCAUCUUCUUCGUCUUCUUCUUCUUCGAGCAAGAGGAGGCUCCGGCCUUGAUAUAUAGAAUGGUUUGGCUUUUUUCCUUUGCUCGUGCUGGGAAAAUAAUUUGCUUGCUUGCUUGAUUGAUUGAUUGAUUGAUUGACCACCUCCCUCUCGAGAGAGCGAGCAAGAGAGAAUUCUUUGCUUUUUGCUUUUUGCUUCUUUCGACGGUGAUUUGGUGAGCAGUUUUUUUGGAUCGAAAGGUUGUAACAAUGUAGCUUCGAAUGAAAAAUGAUAGUACGGAAUGAGUUGAGCACCCAAGUACGGAGAGGUCAUUCUGAGAGCAUAUACCGUGGCUGAUUAUUCCAGAAGAAUAUACUAUUAGGGCAAGAGAUUAUUCCAAAGAAUAUGCACACGAAUCAAAAUACCACCAAAAAAUCGAUCAAUCGGGAUUGGAUCGAUCAACACCUCCAGGUGGAAGCCGCGACGAUGGGCUUGCCCUUCCAGCCAAGAACAAUGCAGCCCUUCUCCUCCACCAGCGUGUAGCCCUCGGAUGGAUAGUACAUGCCCAGCCACGUCUUGACCUCGCCCAAGAACUUGAGUGGCUUGGGCUGGAACCCCGCGCGGCUCAUCCUCCGCCGCCACUGGUCCGCCCGCUCGUGGCGCUCCACCCGGUCCGGCCCCUCGCACGCCACGAUGUUCUUGAUCUCCUCCGCGUAGUGGUACUGCUCGAUCUUGAGCCGCUCCUCGCUGUCGCUGGGCAGGAUCGCGUCCACCGCGUCGAAGAUCGCCGAGUAGUAGUGGAGCGCCUCGAUGAAUCGCCCCAGAAAGAAGGGGCCGUUGUGGCAGGCGUCCUGCUCCACCAGCGUCAGGAUCUUGGGGCUCAGCUCGUGGAUGGAUUGCAGCACCGACUUGAGCGAUCGCCGGCUCUCCUUGACGACGCAGUGGAGCUGGAACGCGCUGUUGAUCGCCAUGGCCUCGCCGUCGCGGACGUCGAGCAUCCCCCGCUGGAGGCUCUCCACAGCUUGGGUCACGGCCCGGAACUCGAAUUGGAGCUCCAGGCUCUCGGCCAGGCGCGAGAGCUCCUCGCCCGCCAGGAAGAGCUUGUCGCUGCGAUCGCAGCUCACGCCCGUGAUCCGGAUCGACUCGGGCGGCCCGCCGGGGCGCGAUGCCAGCCCCUGGAGCAGCGCCGGCCACUGCAGCGCACUGCUCAUCCCGAGAUCCACGAUGUGGACCCUCGAUUCUCCCUCGAAGGCGUCGAGGAUGGCGGCGUUGGCGGCGAAGUGGCCGAAGGAGAAGUAGGGGCAGAACUCGUAGACGAGGUUGAAUCCCUCGUCGCGCAACGCCUCGGGGAUCUGGCUGCGUCGUGCCGCCGGCGGUGCCACUGCUGGCUUGUAGGCGGCGCCGCUGAGGCUGAUGCUCUGGAGCCCCGCCAGCCGCGCGGUAAGGCCCUCGACGAAGCACGACGUGACGCGCUGCAUGGAGUCGCCGCGCGGCGAUGCCAUUUGCUGGAGCUGGCUGAGAAGGGUGGCGGCUUGGUUGACGUCGCGGCACGCCACCGCCUCGGCGCAGGCGAGGAGAAGCUGGAUCAGCCGGAUUCCCACAUUCGCAUCGCCCGAUUCGUGAUGAUCUUGAGCCGCUGCCGGCUGUGCUCGCGAUCCCUGCUGUUGUUCUUGUUCGAAGAGCGAUUGAUCUUGAGCAUGGCGUUGUUGCUGCUGUUCUUGCUGUUCUUGCUGCUCUUGCUGGUGCUGUAACCCUCGCCAGAAUUCCAGGCCCACCGCGCCGUCGCUCUCCAGCGCCGAUAUCGAUUCCUUGAGCUCGAUCUUGUCCUGCAGCACGUCCUCGCGCUGCACGGGAUUGAAGACGUCGUUGCUACACAUCAUCUCCAAGAACUUGGUAUCGUCGGAGGAGUUGUAUGACGAUGGAGCCGAGGCGUGUGUCGCGGAGUGGUUCUGCCAAUCUUCGUCCAGGCCGAUAUUUUGCUGCUGCUGGAUGUGAUUCUGGCCGGGAUCCAAGAGCCGCAUCUCGAAUUCGUCGUCCGAGGCCGUGGAUAGCAACACCUCGGGCUGCCAGAUGGAGUAAUCCAUCCCCGACGACGACGACCUGUGGAGCGAGGAGGAGGAACAAGGCUGGAGCGAUGCCUCUAGAUCACCUGUGAGAUCGAGUGGCGCAAACACAUCCUCGAAUUCCUCGUCCGAGCCACUGGCAGUACCGCCGUGCUUGAGCUUCUUCUGCCGAAAGAUUUGCUGCUGCGAUGGCGGAGGCGCCGCCGGGAUGAGAUGAUGCUGAGGCGGCGAAAUGCAGUUCCCAAGAUCGAGGACCGAUUUUGGCUCCUCGUGAUCGUAGCGAGACGAGCGCCUUCUCUUGGCGAUCCCGCUCAUACCUAGCUCUCGAGCUCUUCUUCCCAAAAUUUAAAAAUGCCCCAAUUCCUUGGACCCGUUUUAAAACCCCCGCGCAAUCCCUGCCGGCCGAUCCCUUCGCGCCUUCCACGUGGCGGGAUGACACCCAUUCUCCAUCCCACGUACGGCUGGCCCAUAAAGCGUCUGUACGAGACUGGAUAUUCCGGCAUCCCAUCGCUACAUGUUAAAAUAUUUCCAAAGCUCUCGACAUCGUCGAUGGCAAAUUCAUAUUGCCCAUCUAUGAGAAAAUCUUUUUUGCCAGCUAUGAAUGACCACAUUCUUUAGUUCCUGGAGUGUGGAUGGAACGCAAACUCCAAGCCCCGGGAUAUUCCAAACCAUGGACUGUAUAGCCUAGUGUUUUCUCUAUAGUCAAGCUGUAUUUACAUUUUUAUAUGGUUUCUUUUUUCUCUCUCGCCCUCUUUUUUCUGGAUUUUUUCGAGCUAGACUAUGCAAUGCAAGCUUUGUCCUUGAUGCUCGUCAUAAGCCCCAAUCGUGACCGUCUGUCAAUGGAUUUGCAAAGCUGUGGAGCCCUGGUUGUCACCCUUGUAGGGGUCGGCGCAAAGGUAUUUCUCUACGUAGUCCUGUAAGAAAGAAAAAUCACUAUUUAAGUUUAAGAUCGUCUACAAAGUUCUAGUCUAAGAAUCCUAGAGGGUUUUCUGGAAGGCCAGAAGUAAUGCUAUAGCAAGAAGCACUGCUCAAUUGCAAGAGAUGCCAGAUCAAACAGGAGCGAGAAACCAAGUAGAAAAAACAGUAGCUACAUUCGAUUGCGAUGGAGAGGAAUCGAGGCUUUGUUUUGCUCGGAGAGCACAAACGAU